UGAUUAAAUGGACCUUCAACCCAUUAAUCUAUCGGUUCUUCUAAAUCAAUGCCUUGUAUCAGAAACUCGGUACAGACAGCCCAAUAAAAUCCGUAAUAAUGUAUCCUCUGCCUCACUUUGCUCCAUCCUGUCCAUAUAAAUUGUUAGAUCAAAAGAAACAGAGCAGGGUGUGAAAUUUACCUAUUACUCAAUGUAUGUUUGUAUACAUAUAUUUUAUUAGUGUUUAAAUAUAUUUAUAUAAAUCUAAAAAUGUUUAUAGCGUGAAAUGGAGGGAUACCUAGUCGCAAUUAACGGGCAAUUUUUUCGUCUGCUGCCAUUCUCGUCCUUUAUUUUGUCUACUGGGGAUAGGAGGCGUCGAGAGAACAUAACUGGGAUUUGUUUUGCUGGAUUGUGCGAGCAUGCUAUUGACAU
rnacentral:lncRNA from 1 species